rnacentral:lncRNA from 10 species
CUAACUCAUAGCCCUGUAUUUUGCUAAGUUUUUCCUCUACUCUUGAGUCCUCCUUUAAUCUAUAGAGUGUUAUUCUACACUGGACCUCUCUCUUAUUUUUUGGAGUCUAGCAUCUUGCAUCUUCCUGGAGCCCCAACUAAACUCAUAACUUCUAAGCUUCUAAGAAAUAUAUGACGAGCUCCAUGAGGGCCAAGGCUCUCCAUUCUUGUUCACCACUGCACACUCAGGAGCUCAUGGCAUGCUGGCUGUGCUAGUUCUAUCCUCAACAGAAUAAUUGCUGACAAACUCUCUUGCCCAGAAAAUGUCUACUGGAAUUAUGGAGUACAAAAAAACUACAAAAGCAAUGAAAAAAAGAAGGAUGUUUUAUUUACAUCCUAUUUCAAAACCAUUGCUUUCUUGCUAUUGUAUGUCUCUGCAGGCCCAAUAUCGCGCAUCUUCAUAAGAAGUUUAGAAUUGUUCCUUAUGUUUCCUUCUAACAAACACUGGUAUAUUCACAUGAAAGUGUAUAUUUUAUUCACUUCCAAAACAGUUAGCUCAUAAUUCAGAACAUUGAGGUUUGCAAAAUGACUGAAGGAAACUUUACCUAAACAAUAGUUGCCAGUUCUGCUGAGAAUUAUCACGGGCCCACAACGGCUGUGUGUUUUUCCAUACAGAUAUUCUAAUUUUUUUAUUAUGCAGCUAAUUUUUUUUUAGACUCGCGAAUAAAAUAGCAAGUCAGUCUGUGCAUAAGCAUAUGUUUAAAUCUACCAGGAGAAAUGUCUGGAAUCUUUUUGGUUAUUAAAAUUAAAAUUCAGGAUAAUGAAAGGCAUAUGCAACUUAUUAUAUUCUUUAUAUAACUUAUUUCAUCUAAUCCUCCAAAUAGCUAUAUAACAUAUUUAUCCCCACCUUACAUA